rnacentral:antisense_RNA from 1 species
CUUCACCGACCCCAACCACAGCGGAUCGUCCUGCGAGCGCUCCUGCCCGUAGACCGCGAGCAGCGCCUGCGCCUC